UCAGACGAUGCGUCAUGCAUAUCAAUAAGCGGAGGAAAAGAAACUAACAAGGAUUCCCCUAGUAACGGCGAGUGAAGCGGGAAGAGCUCAAAUUUGAAAUCUUAAAGGGUUUCCCUUUACGGAUUGUAGUUUAAAGAAGUGUUUUCUGUUGAGGUUUUGGUAAAAGUUCUUUGGAAUAGGACAUCAUAGAGGGUGAGAAUCCCGUAUUUGACCUUUACUUUCAACUUUGUGAUACACUUUCAAAGAGUCGGAUUGUUUGGGAAUGCAGUCCAAAAUGGGUGGUAAAUUUCAUCUAAAGCUAAAUAUUGGCGAGAGACCGAUAGCGAACAAGUACCGUGAGGGAAAGAUGAAAAGAACUUUGAAAAGAGAGUUAAACAGUACGUGAAAUUGUCAAAAGGGAAGCGUUUGACACCAGUGUUGUUUUUCUGAAAAUCAAUUAAAGAACUGUUUAUGCUAAGCUGUUUAGACUUUAUCAGCUAUCUGUUUAGUUUUAGGCUUUUCUUUAAUGCACUUUUCAGUUAACAAGUCAACAUCAAUUUCUUUUGCUGUAAAAAAGCUUGAGGAAGGUGGCUUGAGAUUCGUCUUAAGUGUUUAUAGCCUCUUGCCUAUGCAGUCGGAGAGAUUGAGGUCCGCAGCGUAGAUCCUUCGGGGCUAAAUGCAUUUGUGCUAAGUUAUAGCAUUUUAUAGACAACUUGUUGACUAUGAUUUGUCUUGUAGCUUACUCGCUUAUGUUAUUUUACCUACGCUUAGGAUGUUGACACACGCGCGUGCUCG
rnacentral:rRNA from 1 species